UAUGUGCAAACUCAAAUGCGAAAUGAAAGUGAAAUGCUUGCCUCGUUGUGAGCUGUUGGAUGAUCCCUGGUUUAGCCCUUUAUUGGGAAGGCCUGGGCGCAAUCCAUGGGCAUCGUGAUUGCUUUAUUGCCAAUCUGGUGCACCACGAGCGCACAAGUUGGUACCCGAAAGAUGGUGAACUAUGCCUGGCAAGGGUGAAGCCAGGGGAAACUCUGGUGGAGGCCCGUUUGGAUUCUGACGUGCAAAUCGAUCUUCAAAGCUGGGUAUAGGGGCGAAAGACUAAUCGAACUAUCUAGUAGCUGGUUCCUCCUGAAGUUUCCCUCAGGAUAGCUGGUGAUCGUACAUGGUAUGACAUGUUUCAUCCGGUAAAGCGAAUGAUUAGAGUCUUUGGGGGCGAAAUGACCUCAAGCUAUUCUCAAACUUUAAAUGGGUGAGAAGCCGGGCUUACUUGAAUGAAGCCAUAACGGCAUGUUGAAAUGAAUGAUUACCUAGUGGGCCAUUUUUGGUAAGCAGAACUGGCGCUGUGGGAUGAACCAAACGUCGAGUUAUGGCGCCUGAAUGAACGCAAAUCUGAUCCCAUGAAGGGUGUUGGUUGCUCUAGACAGCAGGACAGUGGCCAUGGAAGCUGGAAUCUGCUAAGGAGUGCGUAACAGCUCACCUGCCGAAGCAACCAGCCCUGAAAAUGGAUGGCGCUUUAGCGUUCUGCCUAUACUCGACCGCUAGAAUGGAGCUGGCACUUCGGUGCAGGGCCCGUAUAUUCUAGUGAGUAAGGAGGUGUGAUGGUAAGCGUUGAAGGGUCUGGGUGUAAACCUGCCUGGAGCUGCCAUCGGCACAGAUCUUGGUGGUAGUAGCAAAGACUCACGUGAUA
rnacentral:rRNA from 1 species